rnacentral:rRNA from 1 species
UACGAAGGGGGCUAGCGUUGCUCGGAAUGACUGGGCGUAAAGGGCGCGUAGGCGGUUUGGACAGUCAGAUGUGAAAUUCCUGGGCUCAACCUGGGGGCUGCAUUUGAUACGUUCGGACUAGAGUGGGGAAGAGGGUCGUGGAAUUCCCAGUGUAGAGGUGAAAUGCGUAGAGAUCCGGAGGAACCCCAGAGGCGAAGGCGACGCCCUGGCUCGUACCUGACGCUCAGCCACGAAAGCAUGGGGAGCGAACGGG